UAGCGGGGGUCGAGAAGGGUGAACAACCAGUAAUCCGUAUUGACUAAAAUGCGUAUAUCGCGCGGGGCGCAGGAAAGGCAGCCUAACAUGAAGUCAGCCAUGUGUGCCAGAGUACCAACAGGCAAGACUUCACUAAGACAGUGAUGUCA